GAUGAAGAACGUAGCGAAAUGCGAUAAGUAGUGUGAAUUGCAGAAUUCAGUGAAUCAUCGAAUCUUUGAACGCACAUUGCGCCCCAUGGUAUUCCGUGGGGCAUGCCUGUUCGAGCGUCAUUUACCCCCUCAAGCUCCGCUUGGUGUUGGGCGUCUGUCCCGCUUCGCGCGCGGACUCGCCCCAAAGGUAUUGGCAGCGGUCGUGCCAGCUUCUCGCGCAGCACAUUGCGCUUCUCGAGGCACCGGUGGGCCCGCGUCCAUCAAGCUCACCCCCCCAGUUUGACCUCGGAUCAGGUAGGGAUACUCGCUGAACUUAAGCAUAUCAAUAAGCGGAGGA
rnacentral:misc_RNA from 1 species